rnacentral:sRNA from 1 species
GAAGUAUUGGCGGAAAGGAAAAUACAGCGGAAAAAUGCAGAGCUGGAGUCGUGUGUACUGCUCCUUGGCCAAGAGAGGCCAUUUCAAUCGAAUAUCUCAUGGCCUACAGGGACUUUCUGCAGUGCCUCUGAGAACUUACGCAGAUCAGCCGAUUGAUGCUGAUGUAACAGUUAUAGGUUCUGGUCCUGGAGGAUAUGUUGCUGCUAUUAAAGCUGCCCAGUUAGGCUUCAAGACCGUCUGCAUUGAGAAAAAUGAAACACUUGGUGGAACGUGCUUGAAUGUUGGUUGUAUUCCUUCUAAGGCUUUAUUGAACAACUCUCAUUAUUACCAUAUGGCCCAUGGAAAAGAUUUUGCAUCUAGAGGAAUUGAAAGUAAGUAUACUUUUCAUGCUUAAUGAUAUUACCAGACUGCUUGACUAGGCUCUUCUGUCUAAAGACUUAAAUGUGUCUAAUGUAUGUAUAAUAGAUGUUUAGUGAAGGAAGAGUAAAAUAAAUAAUCUAAAAAAUGUGGAGAGAUUUACUUAAAAAAGAAGGCCUAAAUCCAGAUUUCUCCCAGCCAAGUAUAACCAAGCCUAGCCCUGCAAAUCCAGAUUUCUACCAU